UAGCGAGAAAGUUGCUAAAAGAAGAAGAGAGCAUCGAGUGCUUGAGCGGUUUAAAUAUGUACGAACUGCUUAAACUUAAGAGUUUGUUCUCGUUAAGUUUUUUCAUAAACCUGACUUUUAGUCCUGUUAGGAAACUGUCCGUCGUCUUCACACCUCUGAGGCAAAUGGCAGUCGCCACGAACUGGAGCAAGGCCUGAGCUCCCCCCACAACGAGGCAGUCACUGCACAUUUUGCCGAAGCUCUCGCUGCAAGUCCGGAUUUGCAGUGUGGAAAAUGACGCCAUUGAAUCUGCCUGUAAGACGUACUAUGAUGUACUAAGACAUACUAUGAGCCAGUAUGAAGGAACUUCCGUUACAUCCAACCGGACCUUGCAGCCGCAUUGAAAGUUAAGGAGUAGACAGAGAAGAAAGAGGAAGUCUCACCAGGUCAAAUUUCCAUCACAUUGGGUUUACAGCUGAUUGAAGUGGGACAGAUGACAUGGAUCCAUCCUUCCACAGCCAGGAGCUCACCGACCUGUCUGCCACACGUCAAAGAAGACUAGAAGCUACACUUAAUCUCACAGCUACACACCAUAGACAUCUACACACUGGAGCAGAUUCGGACAGAGUGCCACCAAAAACUUAUGACCCAGAGGCGGCAAAGAGACAUUUCACCUGUGAAAAACCUGCCUUUUUUAUUUCCAUAGCUGUCUUCCCCAAUCUCGGCAUCACAGCAUGCUAUUAGCUAAAUUGCAAUUGUUGGUGUGAUGUAUUCAGCAUUUUUUGGUGCUGUUUCAAGAUGGUGUUUAAGUGUGGUGUUGAAUGAGGAUUUCCAGGUAAGGAAAUGACUGAAGUUGCCAUCUUCGUUUUCACCAGUCCAGCUCCCACGCAGUGCUAUGUUCCUCUUAGAAAGUUGGAUAAUAACAUCUAAGAUGGAAAGGAGAAUGUUGCGACCUUCUCUUCAUAUGCUUUGUUUAGCACAGAAUUAAUCUUAAUAGUCUCUGUGCCUUCAACAUUGCAUUAUUCAUGCAAUGUUGUAUGCAUCCUCUUCUCUUUGUUCUCUCUCAUCCUCUGUAUUCACUGCCUGUCCCUUUCUUUGUGACUUCCCACUCCUGCCAAGUGUACCAAAGAUAAUUAAGGAAAAUAAUAUCCACCUUCUUUAUUUCAUCUUUGUGUUUGAGUUUGCAUCAUUUUGUAUUUGAAUUAUAGAAACGUUUCUCAAAAAGUGCAUCAACAUAAGCAAAAUGUGGUAUACAAUAAAUACUAUAUUAUUAUA